CUGGCGGCAGGCUUAACACAUGCAAGUCGAGCGCCCCGCAAGGGGAGCGGCAGACGGGUGAGUAACGCGUGGGAAUCUACCGUGCCCUACGGAAUAGCUCCGGGAAACUGGAAUUAAUACCGUAUACGCCCUACGGGGGAAAGAUUUAUCGGGGUAUGAUGAGCCCGCGUUGGAUUAGCUAGUUGGUGGGGUAAAGGCCUACCAAGGCGACGAUCCAUAGCUGGUCUGAGAGGAUGAUCAGCCACAUUGGGACUGAGACACGGCCCAAACUCCUACGGGAGGCAGCAGUGGGGAAUAUUGGACAAUGGGCGCAAGCCUGAUCCAGCCAUGCCGCGUGAGUGAUGAAGGUCUUAGGAUUGUAAAGCUCUUUCACCGGUGAAGAUAAUGACGGUAACCGGAGAAGAAGCCCCGGCUAACUUCGUGCCAGCAGCCGCGGUAAUACGAAGGGGGCUAGCGUUGUUCGGAAUUACUGGGCGUAAAGCGCACGUAGGCGGAUAUUUAAGUCAGGGGUGAAAUCCCAGAGCUCAACUCUGGAACUGCCUUUGAUACUGGGUAUCUUGAGUAUGGAAGAGGUGAGUGGAAUUCCGAGUGUAGAGGUGAAAUUCGUAGAUAUUCGGAGGAACACCAGUGGCGAAGGCGGCACCCU
rnacentral:rRNA from 1 species